UUUAUGUAUGGAAUUGUUAUUGGCCGCUUGAGAGUUUUUGAUAGUCGAUUUUUAGUAGUUUGACAGUAAACAAUUAAAAAGUUAUUGACUCACGCGUAGUCUGAACCAAUUUCCACUCCAAAUUUUUGGCUAAAGCUCUGUUCUAGAAAUUAUGGUUUACAAAUGUCUCUAAAGUAUUUUCACAGAAUAAUUAUAAAAAUAAUAUUAAGGAUACUUUUUCAAAUAGGCUGCGUUUGCGUGAGACCGUCUAGUCCGGACGGUAUUUUAUAAUCCAAAAGCAUUUGACGUCAGUCUUCGCCAGUCUCCAUAGCGAAAUAAGAAGAGUAGUUUUUAAUUAAUAUAAUCGAAAUAAUCAACUCUCAUGUUCAGAAAUAUUUUUCGACGAACUAAAAUUCUUACUUACACAUUAUAAGAUUUGCAAAUCAUUCUUAAGAUUUGUGAAAAAACAAUUGUUUAUACUGAAGUUCAGUCCAAGGAAAAGAUGUGAAAGUUAAACCUGAAAAGGUAUCUUCGGCAAUCAUAGAUGACGAGCUCAAUAAUCCGUGAGCUGAUCUGAUCAUCAAACCGACUCAGUGGAAUGGGAGAAAUGCUGGCAACGCAAAACUGCUGUGAUCAAUUCAACGACUAGUUUUACAAUUGCUCGAAGGUCAGCGUAGUACGGCAGUUUGUAACUGUCAAAUUUGCUAACCUCCGCAAAGAGUUUGCGGAGGUUAAAAAUAUAACAAAUUAGUUCUUAACACUUUCUUAAAUGGUUACAAAAUACGGGAAUCCUUAAUUAACUUUCUGAAGUAUAACAUAACCUACGAUAAUAGUUAUUUGCUGAUGAUGAAUUAUCGAAUCGUGAAACUGAGUGUUAACUCACUGGAAACAUAACCUAAAAUCUCGUCGUCUAUGAUGAAAGUGAUAUAAUUCAAAGAUUAACUGUAAAUGCCACGAUUAGAAAUCAUCGAAAAUAAAAAGUGUAAAAAGAACUUAAAAUGUUGGAGAAUUAUGAGGACAUAGCAUUCGCAAACGUUGCGGGGUGGAUUGCAUCGGGUGCAAUGAUUUUUGGCGGAGUGGUGCCGUACAUUCCACAAUAUAGACAAAUUAAAGAAAAACAAGAUGCUGAGUGAUUUUCAUUUGAUGUAUGUUAUACUCUCCUAGUUGCUAAUACUCUCCGAAUCCUCUUUUGGAACAAUUAGCAUUAUCGUUUCAGCAUUGAAACUGGCUUCGCUUUACUCUCAUCAGCUUUACUCUCAUCACCGUCCGUCAAGAAUACAGAUUAAAUCAACUCAAGAUUCUCAAGAAAUCUGGCAAGGAUGUCCAGAAGCUACUCUGGUGUUUGGACAAAGUCUCAAUCACCGAAGAUGUCGAAGUGCCAAGGGAUCCAGUUUGUUCAGCCAGUUCACAGAGAUAAACCUCCACCGACGCCUCAUGGAUAAUGCAAAACUUAAAUAUUAAAAUAUAACGAUAUCGUUACACGAUAUGUAUAUAGUAUGACUACUAAUGCUGCGAUAUUAUACUCAUAAGUAACAUGUAACUAAAACCAAGCUAACUACAGGUAUAACUAGUAAUGCUGUGAUAUUGUAAGCAUAAUUAAGCAAUAACUUAAAUCAUAGUACCUACAAGUGUGAUAACUAAUGUUGCGAUAUUAUAAUAAGUUUUUAACAUAUAAGUAUAAUAAUUUGAAUACUUAAUAUAGAACGAUCGCUGGCGUUAUUUUCCAUAAUGUCUCCUCCGAAUUGAAAAGUAACGCGGUGAUGUAAAUUUCCUGGCUGCGAAAAGAAAUGCUACACUCCAAUUAAUGAAAAUAUAAAAAAUCCACGCUUUCAUAGGUUUCCACGAGAUAAUAAAAAUAAAAAUCUCAAAACAUUGCCUGUUAGAGAGUUCCGUUAAUUGUUUUAAUUUUUACGUUUGUGAUGAUCAUUUUACCGAAGAUGAUUAUGUUAACCAUCUUAAGCAGAGAGUCAAAUUUAACCAGUACCAUCUGCUUCGAAGAAAGGUGUAGAUGAAAAAAGCACAGAGC